ACGAACGCUGGCGGCAUGCCUAACACAUGCCAGUCGAACGAGACCUUCGGGUCUAGUGGCGCACGGGUGCGUAACGCGUGGGAACCUGCCCUUAGGUUCGGAAUAACUCCCCGAAAGGGGUGCUAAUACCGGAUAAUGUCUUCGGACCAAAGAUUUAUCGCCUUUGGAUGGGCCCGCGUUGGAUUAGCUAGUUGGUAGGGUAAAAGCCUACCAAGGCGACGAUCCAUAGCUGGUCUGAGAGGAUGAUCGGCCACACUGGGACUGAGACACGGCCCAGACUCCUACGGGAGGCAGCAGUGGGGAAUAUUGGACAAUGGGCGAAAGCCUGAUCCAGCAAUGCCGCGUGAGUGAUGAAGGCCUUAGGGUUGUAAAGCUCUUUUACCCGGGAUGAUAAUGACAGUACCGGGAGAAUAAGCUCCGGCUAACUCCGUG
rnacentral:rRNA from 1 species